rnacentral:rRNA from 1 species
UACCAGCACCCCGAGUGGUCGGGACGUUUAUUGGGCCUAAAGCAUCCGUAGCCGGUUCUGCAAGUCUUCCGUUAAAUCCACCUGCUUAACAGAUGGGCCGCGGAAGAUACUAUAGAGCUAGGAGGCGGGAGAGGCAAGCGGUACUCGAUGGGUAGGGGUAAGAUCCGUUGAUCCAUUGAAGACCACCAGUGGCGAAGGCGGCUUGCCAGAACGCGCUCGACGGUGAGGGAUGAAAGCUGGGGGAGCAAACCGG